rnacentral:rRNA from 1 species
GCAUAUCAAUAAGCGGAGGAAAAAGAAAACUAACAAGGAUUCCCCUAGUAGCGGCGAGCGAAGCGGGAAGAGCUCAAAUUUAUAAUCUGGCACCCUUCGGUGUCCGAGUUGUAAUCUCUAGAAGUGUUUUCCGCGUUGGACCGCACACAAGUCUGUUGGAAUACAGCGGCAUAGUGGUGAGACCCCCGUAUAUGGUGCGGACGCCCAACGCUUUGUGAUACACUUUCGAAGAGUCGAGUUGUUUGGGAAUGCAGCUCAAAUUGGGUGGUAAAUUCCAUCUAAAGCUAAAUAUUGGCGAGAGACCGAUAGCGAACAAGUACCGUGAGGGAAAGAUGAAAAGCACUUUGGAAAGAGAGUUAACAGUACGUGAAAUUGUUGGAAGGGAAACGCUUGAAGUCAGACUUGCUUGCCGAGCAAUCGGUUUGCAGGCCAGCAUCAGUUUUCCGGGGUGGAUAAUGGUAGAGAGAAGGUAGCAGUUUCGGCUGUGUUAUAGCUCUUUGCUGGAUACACCUUGGGGGACUGAGGAACGCAGUGUGCCUUACGGCGGAUUUCUCGAGAUCUUCACACUUAGGAUGCUGGUGGAAUGGCUUUAAACGACCCGUCUUGAAACACGGACCAAGGAGUCUAACAUGCUUGCGAGUAUUUGGGUGUCAAACCCGGAUGCGUAAUGAAAGUGAAUGGAGGUGGGAACCGCAAGGUGCACCAUCGACCGAUCUGGAUUUUUAAUGAUGGGAUUUGAGUAAGAGCACGUAUGUUGGGACCCGGAAAGAUGGUGAACUAUGCCUGAAUAGGGCGAAGCCAGAGGAAACUCUGGUGGAGGCUCGUAGCGGUUCUGACGUGCAAAUCGAUCGUCAAAUUUGGGUAUAGGGGUCGAAAGACUAAUCGAACUAUCUAAGUUAGCUCGUUCCUGGCGGA